rnacentral:tRNA from 1 species
GGCCCGGUGGUGAAAUGGUAGACACGACGGAUUCAAAAUCCGUUGCUUUCGGGCGUGCCGGUUCAAGUCCGGCCCGGGCCACCA